ACUGCCCAGGUCGACUACCACUCCCGGGCACCUCGGGAAGCGAACCAGAGACUGUCCCCUCCGCCAGCAUCCUAGAAGGCCAGGAAAGAGACGAGCUGAGCGCCUCCUUAAAGCUGCGCAGACUGCCCUCAAUCCCUCCCCCCUGGAGCUCCAACUGGUAGUCCCCUGCAUCAGCCUUGCCCAGCUUCUCCUUUCCUCCUCAGCUCAACUCCUGCUUGCCCUUCGGGAGACCCACCCUGGCCACCCUACAGAGGAGUUGCCCUGAAGUAGAGCGUAUCUUGUUGACCUUGAACUUCGGCAUUGAAGGACCCCUCUCCUGAGCUCUCAGCAUCACCUUUGGAGACGCCUAAUAGAAUGUGAGCAUCGUGUACUCUUCCUUCCAUUGCUCACAAAUGUGGCUGCUGCUUGCACACCAAGAACCAUCCUUAACAUGUAGGAGGCACUGGACAUCACUGAUUAAGGAGUGCUUGCAUGUACACUUACAAGGAUGUGGAGGUCAGAAGACAACUUGAAGGAGUUGGUUCUCUCUUUCCACCACACGCAUCCCAAAGACCAAACUCACUCAGGUUGUCAGACUCAGCAGCAAGUGUCCCUCCUGCCAAGCCAGCUCACCGGGUCACAUGGAUAUUUUUAAGCUGAUGACCAAGAUCAGAAGUCGCUGUGGUCAAGUUCAGGGCCUCUGCCUGGGAAGGAUACCUUCUCCACCGGGUUUCUAUUUUGAGCACGCUGUGUGAGAAAUGGCUCAGUGGCUCACAACGGUAUCACCUUUUCCCCCGCUGAGAUCUGCAGGUCGGCAGGGAGAGCUCUAUUCUGGGUUCCCCUUCGGGGUUGAGUCUACUCUGGGUUUAUUUCUCCAGUUUUCCUUGAACCUGCAGCGACACAGGACAUUCUCACAGUAAGGAACAGAAGCACAAGAAGCUCAGGCAGACAUCGUGAGGGGAGGGUUUCUGUCAAGUCCACUGCCAUUCUAUUGAGUUGUCUGUCUGUCUGUCUGUCUGUUUUUCUAGACAGGGUUUCUAUGUACAGCCCUAGCUGCCUUGGAACUUACUUUAUAGACCAAGCUGGCCUCAAACUCACAGAGAUCUGCCUGCCUCUGCCUCCUGAGUGCUGAAAUUAAAGAUAUGCACCCCCA
rnacentral:lncRNA from 1 species